UACGUAGGGUGCAAGCGUUAAUCGGAAUUACUGGGCGUAAAGCGUGCGCAGGCGGUUUGGAAAGAAAGAUGUGAAAUCCCAGAGCUUAACUUUGGAACUGCAUUUUUAACUGCCAAGCUAGAGUAUGUCAGAGGGGGGUAGAAUUCCACGUGUAGCAGUGAAAUGCGUAGAGAUGUGGAGGAAUACCGAUGGCGAAGGCAGCCCCCUGGGAUAAUACUGACGCUCAUGCACGAAAGCGUGGGGAGCGAACAGG
rnacentral:rRNA from 1 species